CAGCACUGGACCUCCUCACCAUCUGCUGGCUUGCCAGCCUCACACUCAGGAGUUGACAUGUGCACUGAGCUGAGGUGAUCCAAUAAUGGUGGCUCAGACUUAAUGUACCCAAGGAACUACAUGUUGUUGAGUUCAUGUCCAUGUUCGACCAUGGCUUGCAUAAAUUGCUUGAAGACUCGAUCCAUGUGUUAGUGUUCAGACAGUGGAAAAAUAAAAUAUGUGUGUGCAUCCACAAGUGCAGGGCACAUGCCCCAAAGGCCAACUGGGGACCUCGUGAAUGCUCAAUCUAAGUUCUCGCACCGGGCUCCUCCCAGCACUCUGAGAGAAUCUAACCCUGACUGCAGACAGGGCAGCCUUGUGAAGGGUGUUGGCUGCCUGUUCCCGCAGGCUGCAGACAAUUGUCCACUAUGUGGAAAAUGAGGUGCUCUCCCCAGGAAAAGAUGCCAGAGCAUAAUCUGCCCAAAGGCCCUGCCUUCGAGAACCAAAGAUCACAAACAAGAGAACACACAAUCAGCUUUCACUGGGCCUGACAGCAGAAGGGAACCCUGAAAACACUGCUCAUGUGGUCUGAAGCACUUUGAUACUAAGUUCUAAACGCUAACUUUUAUUUGCUUGUUUUUAUGUUUCAAGAUAAUGUCUUCCUGGCCCAGGUUGGAAGUUAUUAAAGUUAUCAGGGUUCAGGCCU